GAUGAACGCUGGCGGCGUGCCUAAUACAUGCAAGUCGAGCGAACGGACGAGAAGCUUGCUUCUCGGAUGUUAGCGGCGGACGGGAGAGUAACACGUGUAUAACCUACCUAUAAGACUGGUAUAACUUCGGGAAACCGGAUCUAAUACCGGAGAAUAUUUUGAACCGCAUGGUUCAAAAGUGAAAGACGGUCGUGCGGUCACUUAUAGCGGGAUCCGCGCUGCAUUGGCUAGUUGGUAAGUUAACGGCUUACCAAGGCGACGAUGCAUAGCCGACCUGAUAGGGUGAUCGGCCACACUGGAACUGAGACACGGUCCAGACUACUACGGGAGGCAGCAGUAGGGAACCGUACGCAAUGGGCGAAAGCCUGACGGAGCAACGCCGCGUGAGUGAUGAAGGUCUUCGGAUCGUAAAACUCUGUUACUAGUGAAGAACAUCUGUGUACGUAACUGUGCACAUCUUGACGGUACCUAAUAAGAAAGCCCCGGCUAACUACGUG
rnacentral:rRNA from 1 species